AACGCGAAGAACCUUACCUGGCCUUGACAUCCCAGGAACCCUGAAGAGAUUCGGGGGUGCCGCAAGGAGCCUGGAGACAGGUGCUGCAUGGCUGUCGUCAGCUCGUGUCGUGAGAUGUUGGGUUAAGUCCCGCAACGAGCGCAACCCUUGUCCUUAGUUGCCAUCAUUAAGUUGGGAACUCUAAGGAGACCGCCGGUGACAAACCGGAGGAAGGUGGGGAUGACGUCAAGUCAUCAUGGCCUUUAUGGCCAGGGCUACACACGUGCUACAAUGGUAGGUACAGAGGGAAGCCAACGGGUGACCGGGAGCUAAUCCCAGAAAGCCUAUCGUAGUCCGGAUCGGAGUCUGCAACUCGACUCCGUGAAGUUGGAAUCGCUAGUAAUCGCAGAUCAGCAUUGCUGCGGUGAAUACGUUCCCGGGCCUUGUACACACCGCUCGCGA
rnacentral:rRNA from 1 species